AAAGUAUUAGUUUAAGAUAAUUUAAAACAAUAAUUUUGGAAGUUAUAAAUUUUAUACUUUU
rnacentral:tRNA from 1 species